GACGAACGCUGGCGGCGUGCCUAAUACAUGCAAGUCGAGCGGACUAAUGGGAGCUUGCUCCCGUUAGUUAGCGGCGGACGGGUGAGUAACACGUGGGCAACCUACCUGUAAGACUGGGAUAACUUCGGGAAACCGGAGCUGAUACCGGAUGACAUAAAGGAGCUCCUGUUCCUUUAUUGAAAGAUGGCUUCGGCUAUCACUUACAGAUGGGCCCGCGGUGCAUUAGCUAGUUGGUGAGGUAACGGCUCACCAAGGCGACGAUGCGUAGCCGACCUGAGAGGGUGAUCGGCCACACUGGGACUGGGACACGGCCCAGACUCCUACGGGAGGCAGCAGUAGGGAAUCUUCCGCAAUGGACGAAAGUCUGACGGAGCAACGCCGCGUGAGCGAUGGAGGCCUUCGGGUCGUAAAGCUCUGUUGUUAGGGAAGAAUAAGUGCUAGUUGAAUAAGCUGGCACCUUGACGGUACCUAACCAGAAAGCCACGGCUAACUACGUGCCAGCCGCCGCUGUAAAAC
rnacentral:rRNA from 1 species